rnacentral:piRNA from 1 species
CUCAUAUGCCAUGACACCCGUGUUGACCA